rnacentral:misc_RNA from 1 species
GGGCGAAUGAAGGAUGGAUCACGUUGGGCAUAAAGCAAACCAACCUCUAACAAUGCAAGAGUACAAGGAUCAUCAAAGAUCUCAAGGCUAUAGUCUGCCAGAUAAUUAACCCCAAAUUCCGUGUUAACUAGACAUUGAACAAAGUCCAUUAGUUGAAGCUUAGCCCAUUCCAAAUAAAGAGCAGGGUCGUCUCUCUUUGGAGGAUGCCUCC